AAACCUUGGCCCAACUUGGAUUUUGAUUUGGGUUGAGUCUUUGAGAGGAUAGUUGAAGAAACAAAACCAAGGUCUAGAAUCUCUAGAUAUAAAACAACAGAGAUUCCCUGUUUAAAAAGCGCGCCAAAACCUCAAAUUUGUAUAUUUCCCUCCCCAUUAUAAAUACAAAAACCCGCUUCUAAUACUAAAUACACCGAGUCUGCUAGGGUUUUUGAAUACGAAGAGAGAGAAAAUGAAUGGCUCAGCCUCAGCUAUGGAAUUAGAUCAACCACAAGAAGAGGAAGAUCGUUUCCUUGCGUUCGUCGAUUACGCGAGGUCUGUGCUCUCGCUUGAAUCCGAAGAAGAAGAUCGAGAUCGAGAUCCGAAUGGAAACGGAUCCGAGACCUCAGGGCCUGGUUGGAGCUGGAUCGCGUCUCGGAUCCUCAAGACUUGCGUUGCCUAUUCCAGUGGCGUCACCACCGCGAUUCUACUCUCUGAUCUCUCUCAGGCAUGGAAUGAGCAACACAGGGCCAGGGCUCCGAGGAAAAGGCUGGAAUGUAUAAAUCAAUUGAAAAAGAAACAUAGGAGAACAAAGCUUCCAAACACCGUUACAAUUGACUCUAUAUAUGAGAGAAAUUUUCUAUCCUUAGGUGGUGUAUUGGAAGUUGUGAUCGUCGAUGCCUUCUCUCUCCCAGGUACAAAUAUCUACAUGCUUACUUUGGGGGAUUUUUGGAGCUCCAAUACCAUCGAUCUUUAUCUCCACCGAAGAUACUAUGAUUUGGUGGAUCCUCAGAAUGGGAUUCUGAAGAAAGGAAGGGAGAUUUUCCUCACAGGAUGCUAUCUUCGGACUGCCACUGAAGGAUCUGGUUGUCCUCGACUUUUGCCAACAGAAUAUCUGGUGAUAUUGUUAGAUGAGGAGGAAGAUGAUGAUGCAAUGCUGCUAGGAGCUCAGUUUUGUUCAGAUUCUUUCUCUUCCAUUUCUCUUGAUGCUGUCAACAAAGGGAUUUCCUUUUCAUUGUAUGCCAGGAUUGAAUCUAUUGGGUCACUGGAAAUUCAGGGAAGGUUAAGUACCUUACAGGGGAAACAAAUUACUCUUGUUGAUAGCGAUGGUGUCAAGUUAAAUUUUCUACUCUGGGGUGAGCAGGUUAUUCUUGCUAAUCUUUGCAGUGUUGGAAGCAUGCUUGCAUUGGAUAGACCAUAUAUUGCAAGUUCCAUAGAGAGUUCCAUUGAAACAAGUGAUGAGUUUUGCCUUGAAUACGGCAGUGCAACACAAUUAUAUUUGGUGCCUUUCAUUCAACAUGAGGAACAAGUGUGUGUAACAUUGACACAAAAUCGGAACCAAGGACCUCGGCUGCUGAAUACAUUAGAUUCUAGUCAGGAACCUAAAGUUUCUCAAGUUUCCUUGCCAUGUGAUUCUUUGGGUUCCAUUGACUUCAGGGAUUAUCCUUUUCGAUCGUUUGUUAUAGACCUUCGUGACAAGAUGACUGGAAUCAGCCUAUAUGGUGUUGUUACAGAUAUUAUUAAAGAAAAACAUGCUGAAGAAGCUAUUUUCUCGCUUAGAAUUGAAGAUACCACUGGAGUAAUAUGGGCAAAGCUACAUUUUGCAAAAUCUUGGUCACUGGGAAGAGUAAACCUUGGUCACACAGUGUAUAUUUCUGGUUUGACAUGCUCUAUGUCGAAGCGAAAUUGCCUGGAAGCAUUAUGGUUGGAGAAUAAUGUUGGAUCUUCUUUCUUCAAUCUCAGUUGCUUGCCCGCAUUGCUAAACUCUUCUUGUCUUCAUAAAUUAUCAAGCCUUUGUGAUCUAUCCAGCCAGACUAGCAGUACACAGAUAUGUCGAGUGUGGCUUGAUCAAGUUGCAAAUUGUCACGUUAAUACGAAAUAUUCACAUGCUCUCUGCGGUCAUUUUGUUAACAAGACACCAAGUGGGGUUAUGGUAUGCAGCUUCUGUCAUCACAAUUGUGAUGCUGAAGUUACGCGCACUUUCCACCUGAAAAUCACUCUUGCAGAUGAGAGUGCGAAAGUUUUUGCAUGGUGUACUGGUCAAACAGCUGCAGAGUUGCUGCAAAUAUCACCUGACGAAUUCUAUGAACUACCUGAGGAAGAACAGGUGAUGUAUCCUUCUUCGCUAGAGAAUGAGAGGUUUAUGGUUGCAUUAGUUAAUUGCAAGAAGCAGGGUUAUGGAGUCAGUGGUGGUCUUAUCCAAGAAAAUGAUGAUGUGUCAUGGGAGAUAACUCGUGCAUUGAAGUUUGAAUAAUGUUAUGUAUGCGAAAUUUUAGUUGUUUUUGACUAAUCACCUUCACUUGAAAAAAAGGUGUAACAGGAAUUCCAUUCAGCACGACGACGAUAAAGUUAGACGCUGGCCUCGUUUAAGUGUCAUGUUGGGAUGCAACAUAAAUUUGUAGCAAGGUAAGAUAUGUAACAAGGUUAAUAAUUAUGCAAACUUAAUUUGAAACCUUAAAUACUCGUAAGCCUAAAACCUAAAUCCAUAGUUUGAGUAUUCUAUUCGGGAAGUGAAGUAGAUAAUUGAAGUCAAUUUUACUUGAUUAAAAAACUAGUACCAAUUUUCAUCGAAAAAUGCGGUGCAAGAUGCUAU